AUGAUGUCCUUCCUGGUUGUGGACAUGGCAAAUAUGACAGUCGCCUAUGCUGCCUACAAAAAGAGUCUUUCAACCAAGGUUGUUGCUUUAAAGGUUAUUUCUGCUCCCUCGAAGGAUGAGCUCGACGAGUUGAAAACCUUGAGGUUCCGUAACGAGCUUGUCGCCCGCAUCCAAAAUCUCAAACAACAUGUGCUAGAAGCCGUUGAAAAUGGCUUUGCGAAUGCGGUGGCUCAACUUUAA